rnacentral:lncRNA from 1 species
CAUGGAUACCUAACAGAGCACCUUGGGUUUUGCCUGAUCACUAGGUUCCCACCUGGGUUACACUGGGUGGGAUUCUGGCUUCCAUGUUUCCUCCAAUGUGUAGUUAUGACUAAGAUGUUCUGUCAACUGAAAAGGUGGUUCGAACCUCACUACUGACUUCACUUGGAUUCCUCGAAGAUCAAUUCUACUGGUUCUUUGGUCCUAAAGACAGCAGAACAGUGGAGUCACCCAUUCUGAAUGCUGUUUCGUUUCUGAGAACCACAACAGCAAGUCUUUCCUGGAUCUGCCGAUACACCUGCCUGAGAUAGACAGGAAGCCUCAGGAGACUAGGCCCUGAAUCUUCAUUCUUUUUAUCUGCAUCUCCAGCAGGGUCUGUCCAGGGAGACACCAUGUGGGAGGAUCCAUGGUAAGGUGCCCAUGAGGAAACCCUCAGUGGUGGAGAUAAGGUUACCCAAUGUCCCCAGGACAGUGCAGAGCGACAGCAUAUGCCUCGAUGAUACAGCCAACGGUCUCUGUUUUCUCAUGAUUGCACGGGCCAAGGGAUCCUUCACAAUAGAGGAUUAGUGAUGUGGGCAAGAAAGACCCUAAAACAACCAGGGAGGAAUCUCAGAAGUUAGGCCUAACUGGGCACAGGAAGGUUUAAGCCUAAGAAGAGCCUGAGUCAGCCAAGGUGAGCUGAGCAGGAAACUCAGCUGCAAGCCUGGUUCUGGAAGUUCUGAGGGAUCACUUUCUUCUACCUGAAACUGGAGGUCUGGCUUCCUGUUUCUGAACAAUGGAAGGACUCCACAGUGCUGCAUCUGUUUCUUCUGUGGAGACUAGGAGGAUGGAUCCAAGGUCACACCCAGUGCUGCUGCCCCACCAUACAGCCUCGGCAGCAGUCCUCAUCUGCUGGGCUCGGGCUUACACUAUCCUGAAAGGUGCCAGACGUUGCUGUUGACAAAUGCACCAGGGCCUCAGUGCUCUUCCUUGCCAGUCUGUAGGCAUCUGUUCAAAGCGACCCCUCGGCUGGUAAGGUCAAGGAUUUGAACACAGGGCUGUCAAGGUGAGUCCUUGAUCAGGGUGAUGUGUUGAAGACAGA